rnacentral:pre_miRNA from 1 species
AUGGUACUCCCUCCGUCCAGAAAUACUUGUUGGAGGAAUGGAUGUAUCUAGACGUAUUUUAGUUCUAGAUACAUCCAUUUUUAUGCAUUUUUUCGACAAGUAUUUCUGGACGGAGGGAGUACAAC